rnacentral:rRNA from 1 species
UACGUAGGGAGCAAGCGUUUGUCCGGAAUCAUUGGGCGUAAAGCGCGCGUAGGCGGCCUCGUAAGUCCGUUGUGAAAGUCAAAGGCUCAACCUUUGAAAGCCGAUGGAUACUGUGAGGCUAGAGUCCGGAAGAGGCGAGUGGAAUUCCUGGUGUAGCGGUGGAAUGCGCAGAUAUCAGGAGGAACACCAAUAGCGAAGGCAGCUCGCUGGGACGGUACUGACGCUAAGGGCGCGAAAAGCGUGGGGGAGCGAAACAGG